CAUUUAUAUGUUCAUUUCUAUUUUCUUUUUCUCGUCAUUUCUCUAUCCUCCUUUCUUUUUCUUCAUUUUCGAAAAACCCUGGACUAAGGGGCUAGGGCAUGAGAGAGAGAGCUGCGCGACGGAGAGUACCAAAUGCAAGACCGGUGGUGAGUGAAAGGCACUGAGAGAACGAGUUUGGGAGCCAGAGAGUGAACGCAGAGGCGGGAGAGCGAGAUACAUGAAAUUCGAAAAGAGGAUUGCCGUAAAGGGGAAAUCGAACAAGAGUAAAUUUCAGUUUCCAUUUUAAAUUGUUGGCGUCUACAGCAACCUCUGCCAAGUUCCCCAUUUGCCUGUUGUGCAGGAUUUCAAUGGGUGUGAUUGAUUUCUACAACUCAGCUGCUUUGUGCUGGGUAAAAUCCAACAUCAAUCUGAAGCAGCAAGGGGGGUUACCUCUAAAACCCAUUUGUUCAUUUGAGGGGAAUCAGAGGAAGUUUGUGGCAAUGGCUUCUACCAUUCCUGUGGAGCAAGUCAACAAUGGUCCUCUGCAGGUGACAGGUGACUCC